AACUUGUGUGUGUGUCUGCACUUAAUUGCAUUCAUGUUGCCUCGCGCCUGGUGUUUAGUCUGGGAGCAGGCUGGUUUGCUGGAGACGUCUGUCGUUGUGACGUUCUCCCCAAAAGGCCCAAUGUGUGCCGCCAUCCCCUGACCGGCCUCCAGUCAGCGAGGGAGCCGUUUCUACAGCAAACCGUUUUUAAAGGAAACCCUUGGUGACUCGAUUUAGACUCUACCAGGCCCACAGCGUAGGUCAUUGACAGUCAUUCACAGUCCUUCAGAAAAAGAGGUCAGGCCCAUCUCUUGGAGCUUCCGUGCUUCUCCAUUCUGUGUCCCUUACAGUCCGUUGCCGUUGAAGGAAAUAUAAAAAAAAUGUGAACGCAGGUUUGAUGCCACCCUGAGAAAAGAGGAGUGCUCGUUGAGCUCGCUUUCUACGUCAUUCAUUUUCCUAAGUAGAGAAAAGAAACGCUGUGCUAUUUGUCACUGUGCCUACUCCUUUCAUCUUUCCCUUUGUCAUAUAUAGUCAUAUUUUGCCGGCCUUUCUUCUGUUGACAGGACAAAGAAAAUGUUUGAGAUGACUCAAGAGGGUCGAGAAGAACAGUUUGUUUCACGAGGGGUUUGCAGGGGAACUUGUUUUUAUGUCACCCGUUCAAAUUAUAUUGAACUUGAAUGCUGCCCUCGAUCAUGUGAUAAUAAGAAUAAGGUUUGUUUUACAAUUAAAUAAUUACUGCUUAAAUCAUAUCAAUGGACUUAUGUUAUUGCAAACAGAUGCCUGGUCGAUUUAACAGACAGUGGAAUGAAAGGCUAUUGUUGUACUACAAAGUUUAUUGUAGAAUAUACAAUUAUCAAUGGGCCUGAUUAAAAAAAGUGGCACAUCGUGUAACAUUUUUGGCUAGCUCAUAAAACCACUGAUGUGAGAUAUUUAGAAUGUUAUAUAUUAAUUAAUGAAAAUCCUUUUCAAAUAAUGUGGACCAAGCUUUGCCAGAUCAGUUCAAAAUUAAACAAACCAUCAUCUGUUGCUUCUUAAACCCUUUGAACUAUAAAAAGGAAACAUAUAUAUGUCCCUUACAAUGUACCAAUAUUUGCCGAAUCCCCUUUGCAGGAGUAGACGCAUCAAUCGAAGGUAGUAAAUCCAAACUACUUUAAUUCUUUCCCCAACAGGCCAAAAUCAAAGUGUCCGACUUGGAUCCAUUCAUCUCUCUCAAUGUUAAGUGAUGUAUUUUUCCUCUUUGCAGGCCAAGUCCAUCUUAGCCCCAAGUCAUUGGAGAAAAUGACACUUGUAACAAGUUCUUAAUAUCUGCAAUUGUUUGCAGUUUUACUUGACUCCUGAUCGGCUCUGUUCAAGUGUCCUCUGACGGACACGGUGUCGAAAUAACACUGUUGCAUUUGGAUAGCUUACUGUUGUUCCCUCAGCCAAACGGAUCAAAGUAAAGUGCCGGAAGCUGCGCAGUUAAGUUCAGUGUCGUGUGUAACUUCCUUCUACAAGUUUGUUCGACCACACGCGUCAGAAGUGCAUUCAGUCCUGCUCUUCAGUUCAGUACAAGUGUGUGUUGAUUCUGGACAGGAUGAGUGCAAUAAUCACUUUUUAAGCACGUAUUUCUUAGACAAAUUAAAUUCAAUGAUUCAAUGGAUGCACACAACAGUCAAAAACAAAGGCAGUCACACCUAUAUUGAAAUGUAAUUAACCACAGUACUGAAAUUCAGAAAGCUUCUUCCUGACCUUCAGGAGGAGACGUAGCGUGCAGCUAUAGAAAGUUGUUUGUAACGGUACAAAACCUCAUAACUAUAUUUAUGAAUCUACUUCUUAAUGACUGCAACCUACAAGUGGCAGUACAGGUGUUGGCGUUCGUAAUAUCUGCUUUAUUUCUUUGCUGAAGGACACCCGGUAUUUGUACUUCAGUAUUUGUGGUAAUUGGUGACAGAGCAUCACAACAUUCUCCUGGUUCAGCCAGGAAGUUCUUCCCUUUUUUUUCUAUUUGGGAACCUGCUUGUUUGUGGGUUUUCAUGUAUUGUUCUUCAGAUAAUAAAUUGAGAACAAGGUUAUGAUAUUUCCCCCACAUAUAAUUCUUCUCUCAGCAUUUUCUUUCUUAUUGGAUGGGUGGAGAUAAUGCAAUCCUUAUCUUUGGGGGUCCUCGUAGGGCUGAAUGCUCCGAUGUUUGUUUUAAAAAAAAAAAAAAAAAAAAAAAAAAAAAAAAAGCUACUGCAGUAGAGGAUUUAGCCAACCCGUCGUUGUGCACUGCUUUGCAGUAAAUGCUGUUUUACUGGGUUUUCUUAUGGUACCAAAAUGAAAAUAAUCAGGUUGACAAGAGAACAAGUACUGUACCGCUUCUGCUUAUCCCAGCUAGUAUGUAUGUAUGUCUCUGUGUGUGCAUGGAUUUAGAGGAGAAAUCAUCAUAAUCUACUAAAAUAAAGCUAACCAGGCGCCAUCUAAAAGCGCUCUGAUAGAGCACAUCGAUCUGCUAUCAUACAUAUGUAUUUAGGCUGAAUGUAGGUCUCUGAGCUGGCGAGGCCGGGGGGGGAGAGCAGAAGAUUCUGUCUGUUCAACACUAGAGAGGACGCUCUCCCUCAGCACAAACUCAAAUAGGACGUGCCAGCUGGUUUCAGCUAGUCGGUCUGUUUAUCUCACGUGGGAUUAGAGGAGAAGUGUGCAGAUAGCAAGCAAUUCUUAAAUGCAAGCCUCCCAGCUUCCAUGCAUGAAACCGCCUUUUCAUUCAAAGUAUUGUUAACACACCACAGCGCGCUCAUUUCUGUCUGCAGAAGCCUGCUUCUUCAAGUGAAGGCUUUUGUCUCUUUUCACAGCUGGGUGCUCGUGGCAUUCUGUGGAAAAGGGUCCGGUGGGGGGGGGGGGAGGCAUUGGCUGCUGUGGUGGUUGUGGGGGGGCUGCAGGGACUGACAUUUUAAAGGGUUACGAUCUUGUUCUGCACGCCGCACAGACAGCUGAGCUGCAGCCUGGUUAGAACGAAAAGUCUGACUUGACUAUAAGGUCACACAGAAGCAUUAUCCGCUUUGUUACAUGGAUUUAUUUCAAUAUACGUCGUUUUUAGAUGUAAAAUCGUAAAAUGUAUCAUUUUCCAUUGUGCUUCUAAACCUCUUCAGAAAUAGUAAAAGGUUUUCUAGAAACCUUCAUGUCCCUCAGGUACGCAGUGCUUAUGCUCUCCACCGCAGCAUUAAUUGAAAUUCGCCUCAAAUAUUAAUGCAAUAAUGCAUUUAGUGCAAAUUGACGACGACUCUCUCCCUCCGUGCAUAUGCUGGGCUGGCAGUGUGCAGCGCAGCAACGAGAUGCAAAGUGACAUUCUUGCUUCCUGCAGGAUCUUUCUUGCAGCACGUGAGGCGCAGACGUCUGGCUUGUCUUUAAGUUUAGAGAAGGCCCUGAGGAAGGCCGGUUCUUGUGCUUGUGCACGGCUCGAUUUACAGACUCUGUCUAGCGGUCAACACCACGGAGUGUUUGUCUCGCCUGGUUAGUGUUCGUCCCUCCACAGUUUUGCAUUUCUCGCUGUUGGUCUCUCCAUCUUCCUUGCCACUGGAAGUGGAAGUCAGCGUGGAUUUCUUCACUGCAAACGAAGGCCUCCUGUAUAGGCCCUGCAGGCAGGUGAAGUCACCCAGUAAAUAUAGAGCACUGCAUAGGGAGCCUUUCGGCACACUCGCAGGAGUUGACUGGCGACAAAGGCGGCCGUGGAUUGAGCUCUCAGAAAUCAAAAUGGCUUAAUUUGAUGAGCGGGUGCAGGGCGAAGCGCUCCCGCUUGAACAUGUCGCGUACAAUUCACUGAUUGAAACACGUCAUACGAUCCACCGGCCCGCCCCUUUAUAGCUUCUAGAUGGCGGCGUAUACGAACAGGUACACGCACACGUCUGCUGCCCUGAGCCAGCGGUCAGGCACACACACACACACACACACACACACACACACACACACAAUCGCCACGAGAACAAGCUUGCCGUUGUGACUGCAGGAGGCGGAGGGACAGAGAUUGAGGCUGAAUGACUGACAUGGAGGCUGAAUAGCAAGUGGUGCUUCCGGUUUGCAUUGAAAUUCCCUGAUUGAAUCUUGUGCUGUCAAGCGAGGACUUCCAAAUAGUUGAAGUGCGUGGUCCGUAGUUUGAGACAUUACAGUGUCCCAUUACAUUCAUUUUCCAUGCCACUCAAGUGUGCUGUGUUAUGACGCAAGCUAAUGGAUUGUGUUGAUUAUUCUGCAGCGAUGCGAGGAGGAAAUGAUCUGUUUCCACUGCGCUCAUUUGUUUCUUCAGCAUACAGUUCAAUUACCAGAAGUCCACCAUAACGGGGAUUGUUUCUGUGAUUCAUUUAUUCAAUUCCAUCAAUACAGCUACAACACUGUUUUGAAACGGUGUGCUUUUAGUGUUUCCAUCUCGCUGUAUAUUAAAAAAGCAGACAUUUUUCUUUUGACUAUAACUGAGGUGGGUGGCUUGCUUGCACAGGCAUGAGGACAAGUCCCGGAUAAGAAUGAAUUCCAUCUUUUACUAGCUGCCUCUGAUGUUCUGACUCAGAUUGGUACACACACAGAACAUGCAAUGGUUAGUGUUUUUGUACACACACACACACACACACACCCAAAUCUGCCUCUGUUUCGUUGAUGAGGCUCUGUUAUUGCUCUGAACGAAGAUAUUAACACCCCAACCACCAAUUGGCUUAAAUGCUUUCACUACAGGGACGUUUUUUUUUUUUUUUUUCCCAGUUCCCUGUAACUGGACCAGACAUUGUGCCUUGAAGCAAAGUUAUUUUUACAGGUGGAAUGUUCAUUUUAAAUUGACUUAAAGAAUGACGUGUUGUCCUGUGGUCUCGGGCUCUUGGAUGUGCUUUUAUCCAGACACACCCAGAACAAUCACACAGGAUGAAUUACAUUGUAAAAAAAAGCAAGCGAUACCACAGAUGCCAGUGGCCUCACACAAGCAAAACAGCACAUCAAAAAAACAUUGUGAGGUGCUUCUGUGGAAGAAUGGAAUUUUUCUUAACAGCAUCAGUAUUUCAUGCUGUAGUGUACUCUGACAUCUGCAUGCCACAUAAUAAUAGCUGUAAAAUAGACUGAGAAUAUUUGCCAUGCUGUUCAAAUUGGUGUGCAUGUAUAGGAUCUGCUGCUGGACCACAUUCCGGUUGAGAAGGAGGUUCAGUGUCUGUACACCAUGUUCACCUCCCACCUGCAGUGUAUCUGCCCUGCAUGUGGGCGAUCGUGGCUCACUAUGGAGACAAUUAUCUCAUCUACAAUUCAUCCUGUUACUGUAGUGUGGUUAUGCAUCUGUGCAUUGUGGAAAAAUAGCCUGUUGCACAUUUGCAUUUAACAGUGGGCGUUAUGGAGAAGAACAUCUGUAUUAAAUGGCAACAAAGCAAUUGUGCAUCAAGCAUUCUCAGAUUAAAGGCUCUCGGUCUUCAUUGUUGAAUCCUGUAGAUCCACUCGCAUUAAGUAUUUCCACAAUUUCUACUCCUCCAACUGGUGUACGGGUGGUUUUAAAAGGAAAUCUUCCAAUAGUGUUCUAAGUAAAAAUAGGAAGGCGUGGGUGGGGAGUUGUUAUACUGAAUUAGCAUGCAUCGCGUUGGGUGGUUUCGCAUACAAUCAUUUGUGCAGCAGAGUCCACAACACCUGUGUUUUGUAGACUUUUUUUUAUUUUUUAUUGCUGCCCAAGUUCACGACAGAUCGUUGCGAGAAGGUUAAUUAAAUGUAAACACCCGGCAGCAGAAUUCACAGAGGUGGCUUCAUUCGUCUUGUGGUGGUGGAAAGGCGUGAUAGAUGGGUGCUAAUGGUUGAUUUAGUAAAGUGGUAAUAGUUGUGUACACAAAACAAAGAUCCUACAUUUUAAAUGUCCAACCAUCAGCAAUGUACGGCUCUGAGCAGGACGCAUGCGACGGCUCCACGGGGGACUCGUUGAUUACAGUAGGCCCAGCUUUCAUGCUUGCAUCCAUAUUACAGCUGUUGUUUGUGGGGGGGGAAAUGUAUUUGAGAUGAGACGUAUUAAGUGGGUGUUUCAUUCAUGACCUCUCACAGUCUAGAGGACAAUUCAAUGGACCAGGUGCCAGUAAGGCGAUUAAGAAACAAUUCCUUUUGUCUGUCUUGUACUGUCUACAAACGGGCCCUUGUAUGCACUGAACAACUUUGCUCUUCCAAGUUGCUAAUACGCCCGAUAUUGUAAUGCUGCUCAAUUGCAAUUGAGCAGCAUUACAGUAAAAAAUGUCAAGUGUGUAAAUUUGCAGAGGAAUAGGAGAUGAAAAUGUACUGUAACCCAAAAGUGUUUCUGCAAUAGCCCGUGUCAGUGCAAUAUAAUUAUGCUUGUGAAUGAUUAUUAGUUUAAUCUAAAGCAUUGAUUGAUAUUUUGCGGAUGUCUCGCAUGUGGAAGAGUCUUCGAGAAAUACAAUGAACUAAAAUGUCUACUUGGCGUGUCUACCAUAAUUAUAACUUUUAAGCUUGCAUGGGCCUUUCAUUUACAACCUUUUUUCAUUUCAAGUAAUCCGACUUUUUCUCCAGAACACCAGCAAGUUCUGAUCGUGCUGUUCAGCCAUGCUACUUAAAUUUGUAAUAGGCAUCACCACUACGUCGGCCUAGCAGCAACGCUUAAACUAGUGAUGGUUGUUUGCUUUAUAAAACGCAUCAAUGAGAAUGCAUCAAAUUUACAC
ensembl:lncRNA